GACGAACGCUGGCGGCGUGCUUAACACAUGCAAGUCGAACGGAAAGGCCCUGCUUUUGUUGGGUGCUCGAAUUGCGAACUGGUGAGUAACACGUUAGUAACCUGCCCUUGACUUUGUGAUAACUUCAGGAAACUGGGGCUAAUACCGUAUAGGAGCUCCUGCUCCAUUUUGGGGUUUGGAAAGUUUGGGCGGUUGGGGAUUGACUCGCGGCUUAUCAGCUUGUUGUUAGGGUAGUGGCUGACCAAGGCUUUGACGGGUAGCCGGCCUGAGAGGGGGACCGGCAACAUUGGGACUGAGAUACGGCCGAGAGUCCUACGGGAGGCAGCAGUGGGGAAUAAUGCACAAUGGGCGGAAGCCUGAUGCAGGAACGAGGCGUGCGGGAUGACGGCCUUCGGGUUGUAAAAAGAUUUGGAAUGUGACGAAGCGUGAGUGACGGUAAUGGGUAAAGAAGCACCGGCUAACUACGUG
rnacentral:rRNA from 1 species